UACGUAGGGGGCAAGCGUUAUCCGGAUUUACUGGGUGUAAAGGGAGCGUAGACGGCAGAGCAAGUCUGAAGUGAAAGCCCGCGGCCCAACUGCGGGACUGCUUUGGAAACUGCCCGGCUAGAGUGCUGGAGAGGUAAGCGGAAUUCCUAGUGUAGCGGUGAAAUGCGUAGAUAUUAGGAGGAACACCAGUGGCGAAGGCGGCUUACUGGACGGCAACUGACGCUGAGGCUCGAAAGCGUGGGGAGCAAACAGG
rnacentral:rRNA from 1 species